UGCCACUGCCACUCACAGGAGGCUCCUGCGGGAAAACACCUGCUCAGGGAUCCAUCAUCCUCCUGCCCUAGCAAGGAUCUGAAGAUGGAGCGUUUGGGAGACUUGCCACAGCUCCUGCCCCCAGGCUCAGAGGAGAGCCUCGCCUACCUUCUCAAGACCAGGACAACAAGUCUCAGCGUGGCCUGGUCUCUGUGCCAGCUCCGAGCGUGAGAACAUGCUGAGCAGAGGAGGGAAGAGUGGCAGGUGGCCAGGUGUGAGCCCCAGCAAGUGUCCCUCAGGAAGCCACGAAGAAGUUGUCCAGCCCCAGCUGCUCCCUGGAUGGUUGUCUAGGGCACCACUGGAGCUGGACUUGUUGCUUGAUUGUCUUUUCCACAAGAAAGUGAAUCUCCACUCAGCCUCAACCCUCUUCCUCAUGAACCCCCUGCGUCACCCAGUCCUGUAAGCCACCCCCUUUCUAGUCACCUGUGAGCUCCAGCAAGCGGGUGGGGCUGCCUAGGUGAUGCUGGGCUGGGCCUGAGCAGGCCUGGGCAGAGGCUGGUUCAUCUUCCUCCAGGUUUCGGCUGUUGGGGAGUUAAUUGCCCCCGAAACGCAGGUUCUGUACACAGCUAUGGCCUGACUCCUUGCACCUGUCAGAAGGUGCCCUGGCUCAGCCUCUGAGUCCCUAGGAGGAAUCUGAGAACAGCUCUGUCCUGCAGCCUCCUCCCAAUUGUGCCAAAAUUGAGACACCUGCCCCCCACGCAGCUGCCAGGCAACUCACAAAUUAGACUCAAGCCCAGAGAGUAAGAAGUUCCCUCAGGGUGGUCUGAGCCUCCUCUAGUACUCCCUUCUUGCUCAUCCCCCCUGAACACUGAGACAUAGCUGCCUUCACCAGGCCUUCUGUCAUAGUCUGCCCCAUAACCUACAGCACACCAGGCCUGAGCUGACCCUACAUGGGCCUCGCAACAAAGACACAGAACAUCCAUGCAGCAGGCCUACGGCAGGAUCUCCCAAAAUGCUGGGCUGUUGCCACCCCAUCCACUAAUGUGUGUCUCAAGUACAGCCUGGGCGGGCACCGGCUCCACACCUGGCUGGGUUCCUCACACUAGAACCUAAGGAAGCCCAAACCCCUGGUCCUUCCUCACAAACCCACUGGCACGUGGUUCCCCUAUGUCCUUUGUAGUCCUGAGGGGCUCUCAGUUACCCUCUCUGCCCCCCUCUUAAAACCCAGACACAGGGAGUUGAUGGGUUCUCCAGACAAGACAGCAUUCUGGCCAUGCAGGAAGUCCUGUCCAGCCCCUAGCCAGAUCCCACAGCCCAGGGCCUGGGAAGGCAGGUUGGAAGGGUGAGAUCAGUAGAAAGUGCCUCCAGGUGGCUCUGCAGGCUGUGUGGACAGCUGCACGGCACUGUGGGAAGCCUUUAGAGGGAGGGAAGUGCCUCACAGUGAUGCUGAGAGGAUGGGGGAGGAAGCUCUGGGAGAUGGCUCUGGAAUGUGUGGCUCCCAGAGGCUUCAGAAAGAUGUGAGAAAGGUUUUCCUAUGGACAGAGGCAGCAAAGCCCCCCUGCAUUCCGCAAACCAUGUUCCCCUUCUGAGAGCACAGAGGUGGGGCAUAUGGAA